rnacentral:rRNA from 1 species
GAAAUAGGUGCCAAUACCGCAUAAGCGCACAGAGCCGCAUGGCUCAGUGUGAAAAACUCCGGUGGUGUAAGAUGGAUCCGCGUCUGAUUAGCUGGUUGGCGGGGUAGAAGCCCACCAAGGCGACGAUCAGUAGCCGGCCUGAGAGGGUGAACGGCCACAUUGGGACUGAGACACGGCCCAAACUCCUACGGGAGGCAGCAGUGGGGAAUAUUGCACAAUGGGGGAAACCCUGAUGCAGCAACGCCGCGUGAGUGAAGAAGUCAUUCGUGAUGUAAAGCUCUAUCAGCAGGGAAGAAAAUGACGGUUCCUGAGUAAGAAGCCCCGGCUAACUACGUGCCAGCAGCCGCGGUAAUACGUAGGGGGCAAGCGUUAUCCGGAUUUACUGGGUGUAAAGGGAGCGUAGACGGCCAGACAAGUCUGAAGUGAAAAUCCAGCGCUUAACGUUGGAAGUGCUUUGGAAACUGCCGGGCUAGAGUGCAGGAGGGGCAGGCGGAAUUCCUAGUGUAGCGGUGAAAUGCGUAGAUAUUAGGAGGAACACCAGUGGCGAAGGCGGCCUGCUGGACUGCAACUGACGUUGAGGCUCGAAGGCGUGGGGAGCAAACAGGAUUAGAUACCCU